CCUACGGGAGGCAGCAGUGGGGAAUAUUGGGCAAUGGGCGCAAGCCUGACCCAGCAACGCCGCGUGAAGGAAGAAGGCUUUCGGGGUGUAAACUUCUUUUAAGAGGGAAGAGCAGAAGACGGUACCUCUUGAAUAAGCCACGGCUAACUACGUGCCAGCAGCCGCGGUAAUACGGAGGUGGCAAGCGUGGUCCGGAUUUACUGGGUGUAAAGGGCGUGCAGCCGGGAAGACAAGUCAGAGGUGAAAUCCCGCGGCUCAACCGCGGAACUGCAUUUGAAACUGUUUUUCUCGAGUACCGGAGAGGUCAUCGGAAUUUCUUGUGUAGCGGUGAAAUGCGUAGAUAUAAGGAAGAACACCAGUGGCGAAGGCGGAUGACUGGACGGCAACUGACGGUGAGGCGCGAAAGCGUGGGGAGCAAACAGGAUUAGAUACCCGGGUAGUC
rnacentral:rRNA from 1 species